rnacentral:rRNA from 1 species
AUGCGGAGGAUGCAAGCGUUAUCCGGAUUUAUUGGGUUUAAAGGGUGCGUAGGCGGAUGAUUAAGCGUGAGGUGAAAUGCCACUGCUCAACAGUGGAACUGCCUCGCGAACUGGUUGUCUUGAAUGCUCCUGCCGUGGGAGGAAUGUGUGGUGUAGCGGUGAAAUGCAUAGAGAUCACACAGAACACCGAUUGCGAAGGCAUCUCACGAAGGGGUGAUUGACGCUGAGGCACGAAAGCGUGGGGAUCAAACAGGAUUAGAUACCCUGGUAGUCCACGCAGUAAACGAUGAUAACUAACCGCUGGGUCGUAGUGAUUCAGUGGCCAAGCGAAAGCGAUAAGUUAUCCACCUGGGGAGUACGACCGCAAGGUUGAAACUUAAAGGAAUUGGCGGGG